rnacentral:misc_RNA from 1 species
AACAACCAAAUCGCAAGGAAACCCUCUCGUCGUGCAGAAGUCAAUACCUAGACCUAAAAGACGAUACCAUCUAGAGGUCUCCAAUCUACUGUCAACCAUCACCAUUUCUACUCCAAACUAGAGACCUCAACCAAAACAAACACACAAGGUCUGCAAAAAAAGCCUUUUCGAUGAACAUCUGCCUGCAUGCAUCUCAACCGAACACAAACAAACCAUAUACAUCCUAACUUAGCAAGGGAAAGGCGUCCCUAAGAUCCAGGCUAGAGGCCCAAAAU